CUGUUUAACAAAAACAUCUCUUUAAGAUUUGAUUUAAGGUUUGAUUUGCUCAAUGAUUUUUAAAUAGCUGCAGUAUUUUGACUGUACAAAGGUAGCAUAAUAAUUAGGCUUUUAAUUGGGGUCUGGAAUGAAGGAUUGGACGAGAGUUUGACUGUCUCUGUUUUGAUAGUAGAAUUUAAUUUUUAAGUUAAAAAGCUUAAAUUUUUUAAAAAGACGAGAAGACCCUAUAGAUUUUUAUAGAUAAAAGUAAUUAAUUUAAUUUAGUAUUUAUUUUUUAUUAUUAAAUUUUAUUUUGCUGGGGUGGUUAAAAAAUUUUUUAAACUUUUUUUUUUUAUACAAUUAUUUUUGGUUAUUUGAUCCAUUUUUUUUGAUUAGAAGAUUAAAAUACCUUAGGGAUAACAGCGUUAUUUUUCUUUAAAGUUCUUAUUUUUAGGAAAGUUUGCGACCUCGAUGUUGGAUUAA
rnacentral:rRNA from 1 species